AGAAAAUGCAUUAUCAUCAUUGAAGAUGGGAUAUAACAGGGUAUUAACAAGUUCAAACAAACAGACAAGAAAGAGAAGAAAAACCAACUCUUCGAUUUCAUCACCUUACAACAACUCCUUUUUCAACCAAACACAAUUUUUGGACGAUUUUUCUGUCCACUCUCAUAUUGACUCGGGGCUAGAACUGGCUCUCUACCAGUGCAUCAAAGCUGGUCUGCUGUAGAGUUUACAAAAUAUGCGCAGUUGUCACCACACAGCAGCAGUCUUUACAUUUUCAGCCACUUGGGUUUGAUAGCUUUCUUAUCAGUAGGCUUGGUUUCCUUGACAACAGGGGUAGGGGCAGGAGGAGAGGCUGCUGUUUCAGGCUCUGCAACAGCCGAUAUAGGCUCCUCUUCUUCACUCACGAUUUCAAGACCUUUCAAAGCCAUGACAUCUUCACUAAGGUAAGGGACUGAACCAACUGCUUCGCCUUCAGGUAGAUCGUAUGAAAAGUAGACGAUUGCACCAGGAACAAAGCCAGCAGAAUAAAAGUCCUGAGUCAAGUCUUUUAUCUGUUUCUUGGGAGGCGUCGUAUAAAUAUAAAAUGGGAGAUCUGGUUGAGCAACUACUUUGGUAAGAAGAUCAACUAAGGUCUGCAUUGUUUCAGAUGGAUGAAAAGUUGCCUCUAAAGUGUGAUUAUCUGGAAAGCGAACUCGUACACUGACCUUUAUGAUCUUUGACCUGCGAGCUGCCUCUUCUGCCUCUCUCAACUUCCGUGUUUUUAAAUAUUUCUCAUCCUUUCUGGUGGCUAAUACCCGAUAAUAGUCUUCCGCUGUAAAUUCAUAAAAACCAUCUGGCUCUUCUCCAGAGUUGGGUAAUUCCUCAGUUGAUGAAGAUGGUGGCAAUGUCUCAAAUACACGAAUCUCUCGUCCAAAUUUUUCUUUCACGCCCAGUAACUUGGCCUUAGAUGAUUGGUGAGCCAUGGAGUCGAUGGUGUAGGAAAACCUCCUUCGCUUGAGUGCUA
rnacentral:misc_RNA from 1 species